rnacentral:rRNA from 1 species
AGUGUCAGCCGCCGCGGUAAGACGGAGGGGGCAAGCGUUGUCCGGAAUUACUGGGCGUAAAGGGCGCGUAGGCGGUCGCGUACGGCGGUGGUGAAAGCUCCCGGCUCAACUGGGAGAGGCCCGCCGCAACGGCGUGACUCGAGGGUGGUAGAGGCGGAUGGAAUUCCUGGUGUAACGGUGAAAUGUGUAGAGAUCAGGAGGAACACCCGUGGCGAAGGCGGUCCGCUGGGCCAUGCCUGACGCUGAGGCGCGAAAGCUAGGGGAGUGAACGGGAUUAGAUACCCCGGUAAUCCUAGCUGUAAACGAUGGUAACUAGGUGUCUGUGGUAUCGACCCCAUGGGUGCCGGAGCUAACGCGUGAAGUUACCCGCCUGGGGAGUACGGCCGCAAGGUUGAAACUUAAAGGAAUUGGCGGGGGA